CUGACUGGACAGGACACGGGUGUGCCGAGGCUGUGUCGCCAGAGGGCCGCAGGGACGUCGCCACGCCUGCCGCAGGAGCAGAAGUAGGGGUGCUGGCUUCUGGACGCCCAGAGACUCGUUUUCUGCACUGACUACUCUGUGCAUCUGGCUGCUGAGUUUGGAUGGAAGCGGUGGAAAGAAGGUGCUGCGGAACCCCUGAGAACGUACUCCCUGCUCCUCGGAGCCACUCACGGGCAGGACCCGCAUGGGUGAAGGCGCUGUGGAGUUGGUGUGGUGGACGUGCUCGUAUGUGUGGUAGGUGCAGGGGCGCGGAGCACAGGGCAGAGGACGUAGAAGCUCGUGUGGGACCCACUGAAA